rnacentral:rRNA from 1 species
UAAAAACCCCGACUUCGGAAGGGGUGUAUUUAUUAGAUACAAAACCAAUGCCCUUCGGGGCUCUUUGGUGAUUCAUGAUAACUAUACGAAUCGCACGGCCUUGCGCCGGCGAUGGUUCAUUCAAAUUUCUUCCCUAUCAACUUUCGAUGUUUGGGUAUUGGCCAAACAUGGUUGCAACGGGUAACGGAGGGUUAGGGCUCGACCCCGGAGAAGGAGCCUGAGAAACGGCUACUACAUCCAAGGAAGGCAGCAGGCGCGCAAAUUACCCAAUCCCGACUCGGGGAGGUAGUGACAAUAAAUACUGAUACAGGGCCCUUUCGGGCCUUGUAAUUGGAAUGAGUACAAUUUAAAUCCCUUAACGAGGAACAAUUGGAGGGCAAGUCUGGUGCCAGCAGCCGCGGUAAUUCCAGCUCCAAUAGCGUAUAUUAAAGUUGUUGCGGUUAAAAAGCUCGUAGUUGGAUUUCUGCCAAGGACGACCGGUCCGCCCUCUGGGUGAGCAUCUGGCUCGGCCUGGGCAUCUUCUUGGAGAACGUAACUGCACUUGACUGUGUGGUGCGGUAUCCUGGACUUUUACUU